CUGCCAUCCAUGCCUCGUUCCUGCACUUCCUUGUUCCUGAUCCUGAAUCCCUGUGUACUGACCUCCACCUGUUCUUCGACCAACCCCGCUCGAAGAAUGGCAAACCGGACGCACUAUCCCGGAUCCAUGAAGGGAAGCGAACGAUAGCCCUGAGUGUUCCUAUACAUCCGGAGGCCUGCUUCGUGUUCGGUUUCACUUUGAGAUUGAGGCACAGUACCCUCGCAACGGGGAGACGUCAUGGUCCUGCCGGUCCCAGCCCCGGCGGUUGCACACCUGCACACCUGCGCCUCAUCGGCUUGAGAAAAUGUACACAUUCAUGUAACACAGUAGUCAACAUAACCGGUACACUAUAUUCGUACAUGAAAACGAACUCUGUGGCCGACGAGUUAUUCCUUAAUGUUAGUUUUAGUGAGUUAGUUUUCGUUUUAGUUUUGAAAUUACAAGAUUUAACGGGACGAGCCGAAUGAAAAAGAAGUAAUAAUUUACUAGCUUUAGACCAAUAUUGAAACAUAGUUUCCAAGAGGAGUCUCUGAAAGAAAUUAGAGUAGUUGAAGUCUUUCCUUUAGUUGACAACUCCAACCAAUCAGAUGCAGAUUUGGCCAGGUUCCUUGCGUUGAGGAGGAAAAAAAAAACGAAUGGGGGAGGGGAGGACAGUCAUCUGGACGAUUCCUUUUUAACCUUCGCGCAUUGGCGAGGUUUCUUUCGUUGAAAAAAAAAUGGGGGAUGGUAGGAAAGUCAGCAGGACGAUUCCCUGUCAAAACAUCCAACAUUCCAAGUAUGGAAGUAAGUGUAUGUGCCACCAGGAUUCGAAUAAAAAAUGCCAAUUUUUUUUUUUGUUAAAGUCACAUUGUUAUUUCAAAGUGAUCACAUUUUCAAUAGCUGUAUUUAAGUUUAACUUUUCAAUGCUAAU